rnacentral:lncRNA from 1 species
UGAGAUUGGUUGUUGCUGUUUAUUGUCAUGAGAUACACAGGAUGCACUAGCAGAAUGAGCAGGCCCUGGGCUCUGCAUGUUCAGCGAUGCCACCAGUGAUCCCAGAGCAUUCUCCCCAACCCAAGACUUAGGUAUCCACUUCCUUCUGUGGAUCUCUAGAUCAUGGCCCAUACUUUGUGGCCUUUGUCACUGUGCCCUUACUUGGAUGUGUCUUGAGGACAGAGAUGGGGUGGAGACCCACGCUCUAGAGGGCAUGACCUCCCGCUGUGGGGCAGGGAGGGGGGAGGGAACACUUUGGGUCCCAGCCCCGCACCAGGAAGUAAGCUGAGGUCUUAGACUGUGGCUGCCCGCUUCCCUGUUGCUGGGAUAC